GUUGUAUCCUGAGUAUGCAUCCAUGAAGUUCAAGAGCUCAUGUCCAGCAGUGGAGUCCACCAGUUGGUCUAUCCUUGGGAGGGGGAAUCUGUCCUCAGGACACGCCUUGUUCAGAUUUGUGAAAUCCACACACACCCUCCAUUUCUCACUAGGUUUCUGCACGAGGACUGUGUUGGAUAUCCACUUCGGAUAGAUGACCUCUCUAAUGAAGCCACUGUGGCUUAAUUUGUCGACUUCUUUUUUGAGCGUUUCAUACCGUUCCGAGUUGAGGGCUCAUCUUUUCUGCCGAUGCGUGGCGCAGGAUUGGUUAAUGAUAAGGUGGUGGCAGCUGACCCUUGGGUCUAUUCCCACCAUGUCUUUGUGCUUCCAAGCGAAGACAUCCAGGUUCCUUUUCAGAAAGUUUAUCAUUUCUUCUUUCACUUCGGGGAGUAGCGCUUUCCCAAUCCACAAGACUUGAAUAGGGUCUUCAGGGUUGGUGGGGAAAGUUUCCAAUUCUUCCAUUGGAGUCGCCUUUGGUUCGGACUUGAUGAUUCGAGGAUCUAACUCAUCAAGAAUGUGCACUUCUUCAGGGGCCUCUACCAUGUCGACGUCUUCCUCCUGUUCGGAAGUAUGCCCUUGUUCAGGGGUGUCGAACAUUUCUAUGUCCACAUUGGCUUCGUUUGCAGCCUCUACUAUCAUGACAUUAAUAGUGCGGAGUUUGGAUUUUCGCAGAGAGUUGAGGUAACACGCCCUUAAGCCCAUGUGGUCGUCUCAAACUGUAGCAAUCCCAUGCUCAGUUGGGAACGUCAUACACAAGUAAUGGAUGGAUGUAACUGCACAAAGAUCUUUCAAGGCAGGUCAGCCCAAUACUCCAUGGUAAGCCGAUCUGUGAUCUACCACCAGGAACUCCAUGAAGUGGUGGGCCACUAGGAGGGCUAACCCAUCUCGACAGGUAGAGUAGUUCACCCUCGUGAGAUGAUGCUGUCGCCAAUAAAUCCAAAUAGCGGGUUAGUCAUGAGGAUCAACUCAUGUUCAAUCUGCAUUUUAUCAAAGGUGGAUCCAAACAAUAUAUUCACCGAGCUUCCAUUGUCAACGAGCAUGCAUUUAAGCCUGUUUUGAGCUACUGCGGCUCUCAUCACUAACGCAUCACAAUGGGGUGGUGAACUCCUUGUGCAUUUUCUUGAGAGAAAGUGAUCGGGGUCAUCCUAUUGGCCUCUUGGGUCUAACUGACAAUGUAAAUAAUCAUUGGUGGAUCCUUUGCUUUCCUUGCGUAGUUCCUCUGGGUGUUUCUGGUGUUACCCCCGAUGUGAGGUCCUCAAAUGAUUGUAUCAAUUUCCUUGAUAACUUGGCCUCUAGAUGGGGUCUAAUCCCUAUACCUGGAUUCUCCUCUAUCCCUAGAUUCUCUCAUCUGGGGCGAUUGGUCUCUAUAUCGCCUCUCUCUCCUAUUCGGGGAGAUAGGCCUGUAGGGGUAUUCAUUCCUUUUUAAGGAGCACAGGUUACUCCGAUUCGAGGAUCGAGGAGCAUCCCUACAUUCGCUGGUGUCGUGUCCAUAAAGUUGGUGAAAGGUGCAGAACAUUGUCCCUUCCAGGGGCCUGUUUGAUCGCUUCUUAUUCUUCUUUCAAUUGUUGUUUAUCAUUUUCAUAUGCUAGACUGGCACUGCAUUUCGAGUGGCCGAAGCCAAUGCCUACUCGGAUGUGGAGGCUACUAUGUGACCGGCCUGGGUCCAUUGUUGGGUGACGAGGUGUGCAAUUGGUCCUUGACCCAUCUGCCUCUGAGGCGGGGGAAGUCUUUGAGCUACACUGUUCCGGUGGUCAAUCAUCUUCUCAUUGACGAUUUCCACCCUCAUCAUUUCAACCAACUCGUCAUAGGUGGUGAGAUUCUUGCUGCAUACAUCCCUCCAGAACAGUGUGUUCAUGUUGAGGCCACUUUUCAAGGCUGAAAGGGCCUCUCUGUCAGUGACUUGCUCGCAGUAUAGUGAAUCUGGCGAGAUAGCUUUUCAACGUCUCGCUAGGAGCUUGCCUCAUGUCUUGCAGACAUUAUACUGGGGCCUCUCCUUCCCUUCUUAAAAAGUAUUGGUUCA
rnacentral:lncRNA from 1 species